rnacentral:lncRNA from 1 species
UUUUUAUACUUAACAUUUAUAGCAGUCCAAAGGAACAGAAGCAAGGGUUCAAGACGGUUCUAAAGAAAGCUUUCAGUAUCGCCGAGAACUGUCCACUCGUCAUAGCUGGUGACUUCAACGCCCCUCACCAUACAUGGGGCUACAAAUACAACACUGGCAAAGGAAAUAGACUUUGGCAAAUCACCAGUGAACUGGAUCUCACCCUAAUCACCGAUCCGAGCCUCCCAACUAGGAUUGGUACAUCCUCCUGCAGGGACUCCACCCCCGACCUUACUUUUGUAAAUAACAUCACGAAGCCGCAGUGGGUGAACCUCGCUGUAGACCUCGGGAGUGACCACUGCAUUCUUGCCACCACCUUCCCCGCGGAGCGUAAGAAGCAGAGAGAAUUCCACUACACAGACUGGGAUAAGUUCAGAAAGUUAAGGACGGAAAGGGAACAAGACGACCACAGACCAAGCUUAGAGCAGUGGGUCAAGCAGAUUAAAGAGGACAUCCAAUCUGUCUCCUCGACCAUUAUCACGGAUCUUCAGGUUGAGAGAAUGGAUAGCCGUCUCGCUCAUCUUCUUGAGGCAAAGCAAGCGCUGUUGAACCGAUGGAAGGGUCAGCGACUGAACCGAAGGUUGAGGAAGAAGAUUGCUGAGGUAAACAGAUCAGUAGAGGAACAUUGUCGCACACUAUCUAAGCAGCAAUGGGACGAAAUCUGUAACUCAGUUGACGGUCAGAUGCGCAACGGCAAGACAUGGAAUAUGUUAAAACACCUCCUCAACGAAAACAACACCAAAACGAAUCAAAGGCAUGUCAUCGC